AUUGAACGCUGGCGGCAGGCCUAACACAUGCAAGUCGAGCGGAUGAUGGGAGCUUGCUCCUGGAUUCAGCGGCGGACGGGUGAGUAAUGCCUAGGAAUCUGCCUGGUAGUGGGGGACAACGUUUCGAAAGGAACGCUAAUACCGCAUACGUCCUACGGGAGAAAGCAGGGGACCUUCGGGCCUUGCGCUAUCAGAUGAGCCUAGGUCGGAUUAGCUUGUUGGUGAGGUAAUGGCUCACCAAGGCGACGAUCCGUAACUGGUCUGAGAGGAUGAUCAGUCACACUGGAACUGAGACACGGUCCAGACUCCUACGGGAGGCAGCAGUGGGGAAUAUUGGACAAUGGGCGAAAGCCUGAUCCAGCCAUGCCGCGUGUGUGAAGAAGGUCUUCGGAUUGUAAAGCACUUUAAGUUGGGAGGAAGGGUUGUAGAUUAAUACUCUGCAAUUUUGACGUUACCGACAGAAUAAGCACCGGCUAACUCUGUGCCAGCCGCCGCAGUAA
rnacentral:rRNA from 1 species